UCGGAUAUGGUGUAACGGCUAACAUUACCGCCUCUCAUUCAGUGCACCGCGGUAGCUCGGGGUUCGAUUCCCCGUAUCCGAA